CCUACGGGUGGCAGCAGUGAGGAAUAUUGGUCAAUGGACGAGAGUCUGAACCAGCCAAGUAGCGUGAAGGAUGACUGCCCUAUGGGUUGUAAACUUCUUUUAUAAAGGAAUAAAACGAGGCACGUGUGCCUUUUUGCAUGUACUUUAUGAAUAAGGAUCGGCUAACUCCGUGCCAGCAGCCGCGGUAAUACGGAGGAUCCGAGCGUUAUCCGGAUUUAUUGGGUUUAAAGGGAGCGUAGAUGGGUUGUUAAGUCAGUUGUGAAAGUUUGCGGCUCAACCGUAAGAUUGCAAUUGAUACUGGCAGUCGUGAGUACAGUUGAGGUAGGCGGAAUGCGUGGUGUAGCGGUGAAAUGCUUAGAUAUCACGAAGAACCCCGAUUGCGAAGGCAGCUUACUAAACUGUGACUGACAUUGAUGCUCGAAAGUGUGGGUAUCAAACAGGAUUAGAUACCCCAGUAGUC
rnacentral:rRNA from 1 species